CGGGAUGUAGCUCAGCUUGGUCAGAGCGCGCCGUUUGGGGCGGUGAAGUCGCAGGUUCGAAUCCUGUCAUCCCGACAA
rnacentral:tRNA from 1 species